AUGGGAACGCGAAGAACCUUACCUAGACUUGACAUCUCCUGAAUAGUGUAGAGAUACAUGAAGCCCUUCGGGGCAGGAAGACAGGUGGUGCAUGGUUGUCGUCAGCCCGUGUCGUGAGAUGUUGGGUUAAGUCCCGCAACGAGCGCAACCCUUAUUACUAGUUGCUACCAUUAAGUUGAGCACUCUAGUGAGACUGCCCGGGUUAACCGGGAGGAAGGCGGGGAUGACGUCAAAUCAUCAUGCCCCUUAUGUCUAGGGCAACACACGUGCUACAAUGGUGAGUACAGAUAGAUGCGAUACCGCAAGGUGGAGCCAAACUCUAAAACUCAUCCCAGUUCGGAUUGUAGGCUGCAACUCGCCUACAUGAAGUUGGAGUUGCUAGUAAUCGCGAAUCAGAAUGUCGCGGUGAAUACGUUCCCGGGUCUUGUACACACCG
rnacentral:rRNA from 1 species